UACGUAGGGUGCAAGCGUUGUCCGGAAUUAUUGGGCGUAAAGCGCACGUAGGUGGUUCGUUAAGUCGGAUGUGAAAGCCCUCGGCUCAACUGAGGAAGUGCACCCGAAACUGGCGAGCUUGAGUACGAAAGAGGAUCGCGGAAUUCCCGGUGUAGAGGUGAAAUUCGUAGAUAUUGGGAAGAACACCGGUGGCGAGGGCGGCGACCUGGUCCUUGACUGACGCUGAGGCGCGAAAGCGUGGGGAGCAAACAGG
rnacentral:rRNA from 1 species